GAGGGUAUAGCUCAGUGGAAGAGUGCAUGCCUGGCAUGCAUGAGGUCCUGGGUUCAAUCCCUGGUACUUCCA
rnacentral:tRNA from 1 species